rnacentral:rRNA from 1 species
AACGAACGUUGGCGGCGUGGAUUAGGCAUGCAAGUCGAACGCGAACGUCGGGCUUCGGCCUGACUAGUAGAGUGGCGAACGGGUGAGUAACGCGUGGGCAAUCUACCCUCGAGUGGGGAAUAACCAUUCCAACGAGUGGCCAAUUCCGCAUGUGCCCUCUCUGUCGCAUGGCGGAGCGGGCAAAGGUGGGGAUCUUCGGACCUGCCGCUCGAGGAGGAGCUCGCGUCCCAUAGCUAGUUGGCGGGGUAACGGCCCACCAAGGCGACGAUGGGUAGCCGAUCUGAGAGGAUGACCGGCCACACUGGGACUGAGAUACGGCCCAGACUCCUACGGGAGGCAGCAGUCGAGAGGCUUCGGCAA